ensembl:lncRNA
ACAACUUGAGCCGUUUAAACUUUUAAAAACCAGAGCAGGAGGAGACAAUCUCUUAUCAGCUUACCUUUCAGACCAGUGUGAAGAGGUUUAUGAGUGAACAGGCUCUGGAUUUGUGUUUGAGUUAGAAUUAGUCUAUUGGUGAUUUUAAUGUAUACGUUAUGUUCUUGUUUUAUUUUUGAAGAGUUUGUCCAGAUUUGCAUAGGUCUACCACUCCACGAGCGCCGGGCAACGACGGAGAGCAUCUGUGGCUUGAGCGGACCGUGGACGGAAAACAGACCCCCUCUCCCACGCCUUUCGCCACCGCACCUGAACUUUUCCCUGACCCAAACCGAUGCACCGAAAAUCUAGUGUGAAGAUAUUUGCGGUCAAAAACAGGGAGAGGAUAGAGACUACAUAACCAAUUAAGAGGUAUACCUCCUUUCUCAGUUGGGAAGAUUUAGGAUACUUUUGGGAUGGGUAUUUGUUAUUUUCAGCAGUUUAUUAUCCUUGAUUUUGUUAAUGUCUUUGUUAACACUUUAUUUCCAAGCUGGUCGUAUAUAUUAGCCGUAGACUGAUACAGAGCUUCGCGUUUGGAUGUACGCCAGACGGCGGUACAUAUCUCCCAGCAAUGUUGACAUUUGGAGCUCUUAACAGCAAGGCUUGGGUUACGGAUACACUCAGUGGAAGAUAACUCUUUCUCAGGGGUUUACAUCGGCCAACAUCAAGGCUAAUUCGAAAUUCGACGCCCUAAGUUAGCUUGGCGUCCAUGCUUAGACGGGAAAGACUCAGAUCUGGUAGUUUGUGUCAGUAUAUGUUGUAAAAAAGGAAUGUAGAAUAUAGUCUCUUUUUUAAUGUAUUUCGAGGUUUUUGCAGGUUAACGUUAAAUCAGUUCAAAGUAGGCUAUAAACGCAGAAAACAAAACGUAUUAAUCUGACACCAAACAAUAACAACAGAGAAAAAAAUUAUAAUAGUAAUCAAAAUACUACUACAUAAUACUUAUUAUUAUUAUUAUUAUUAUUAAUGAAACAUUUAAUUUAAUUGUAAAUUAGGUACACGGUUCAUUUUUUACUUAUUUAUUGACCUGUGCUUAUUAUAACUUUUUAUAUAAAACUUUUUUACAUUAAACUUCAAUACCAGGCUAUAGCCUGAAGUCAGUCUUUGGGGGUGAGAAUGAUUAUCUGUUAAUGUUUAACUUAGUUCUUGAUUGUUCUUUGUGUCUUCUCUCAUUGAGGCGCUCUUUCAGCAAUGUGGACAACUCAAUCAUGCACAAUAGCCUACUUAUAUUUUGCAUGUGGCUUACAGGACGAGACUUAGAACACAUGCGCAUAAAAAUUGUCAUAAACUUUUCUUUUACAAAACGUUGGUGAAUGACAGAUUUAGAAUGAAUGUAUUGUUUUUAUGAAAAUUUCUAUUCAUUAAACCCAAAAGAAAUGUGUUUUUUGUCAAGAAAAUACAACUGUGACAGAUUAUUUUGUGUGUGAAUAAACAUGUUAUUUUCCUCGCUCAAUCUUGUUAUCACUUAUGUGCAAUGCCAAUAUACAUUUGGGUCGAAUUAAUUAUACCGUUUCUUUUCAAUUAACUUAUUUAUGGUCAGUUUAACCAAGUGGCAUUUCUGGGCUCUAGAUCCUUGAAUGUAAGCUGUGUAAUGAGCGCACAAUAAUUAUUUGUGGAUGUAUUUUUCAAACUCAGCAGCUUUAUAUCAACGGGAUAGCACAGCGUUUAUAUAAUGAACUUAUUUUCCAGUUGUAUGAGCUUCUCAACGUUUAUGCCACGUUGCAAUUUCAUAAAUUGUUUUUCAAUUUUUUUCAGGUACAUUUGCCAAUAAAUUUAAUAUUAUGGAAAAGUACAGAUGUCAUGUAGAAGUUUAAAAAUGUUCACAUGAUGCGCUUUGUUUCAAAUUAAAUACUGCCUGGCUGCGCGCCUUGAACUCGAGUUGAAUGUAAUGUCGUACCAUAUAACUGAACCAGCACAGAAUAAUUUUCGACCUCCAUCUUUAUAUGACAAAUAUUCAAAUUCUAGCUAACAUUUAGAAAUGUGUUGUUUAUACAUUUUCAAAUAGCUUUUUCGCUAACGGUUACGCAAUUAUUUAACGCAAAGGAGAAACACAACAUACUUAGGAAAUAAAAAUAGUCUACUCACAAUCAGAUACGAAACCAGGAAACUGACGGAAAGAAGCGUGGGCUUAGCAGAGUUGAGAAUAUUUGAUUCGUGCUCCGCGGAGGAUCACUUCAAAUGAAAAUUCUGCCGAUUUUCAUAUCUAUUUUCGACCCGCGGGCAUUCAUUAUUGAAUAAGUCACGUGAGAGAGCAUAUAAAAAAUGUAGUACAUUGGGAGUGACCUCUAGUCGGGUAUUAAAUGAGCUCAAAUGUCUAAUUUAACUAUCUCGACAUCAUGAGAGACUGUGUAAA